CAGGGACGUCCCAGCAGAACCCAUUUCCAUCUAGUAUUAACAUGUUAUCUGUAUCUGGAUGGGGGGGGGGGGGCCCCAGGAAGUGCAUUGGGCUUUGAAGCCAAUUUGUAUAAAAUGUAUACAACAUUGUCGGCUACAGGGUGUUAAUCAGGAAAAUAGGGGUGAGAAUAUUUUCUUUCUCUACAUUUUGGGAGUUUAAAUUUUCCUAUGUUUUGUGUCUAAGUGACUGAUGGGAACACUAAUCUUUGACAUUGGUCCAGUAUUAAGCGAGAUCGCUGCAGUCGGCAGCGGCGAAACAAUCUACAAUGUAAAUUAAUAGGGCAAUCGUCCAGUUUGUGUUUACCUU